rnacentral:rRNA from 1 species
UACGGAGGGAGCUAGCGUUGUUCGGAAUUACUGGGCGUAAAGCGCACGUAGGCGGCUUUGUAAGUUAGAGGUGAAAAGCCCGGGGCUCAACUCCGGAAUUGCCCUUUAAGACUGCAUCGCUUGAAUCCGGGAGAGGUGAGUGGAAUCCGAGUGUAGAGGUGAAAGUUCGUAGAUAUUCGGAAGAACACCAGCGGCGAAGGCGGC